GACAGAGGGUGCAAACGUUGUUCGGAAUUACUGGCGUAAAGCGUGCGCAGGCGGUUGUGCAAGACCGAUGUGAAAUCCCCCGGGCUUAAACCUGGGGAAUGGCAUUGGUGACUGUACGGCUAGAGUGUGUCAGAGGGGGGUAGGAAUUCCACGUGUAGCAGUGAAAUGCGUAGAGAUGUGGAGGAAUACCGAUGGCGAAGGCAGCCCCCUGGGAUAACACUGACGCUCAUGCACGAAAGCGUGGGAGCAAACAGG
rnacentral:rRNA from 1 species